rnacentral:lncRNA from 1 species
UUUCAACAAUGAGGUACUCGAAAUCCCCCUAAUUUAUUUUGAAAUUACAUAAUACUUUCUUGAGUUAUUUUUAAUUUAGUUUAGGAUUAAUUUUCUUGAAAAUUGCAUGUGUUAUGUUAAUGCAGUAAAAUGUUAAAUAUAAAUCUAAUGCUUAUACACCUAGUAAGAUUAAUCUUAUAUAUGUGCUUGAGAAGCAAGAAUUUGUAUUUUGACGAUUUCCAUAUUGAUUUUCAAUGACGAUGCAUGACUUUUGAAUGGAAGGCUUGAUGAUUUUUUAUGAACCUUAUCUUUGGUUUUCAAACAUGAUGUAUAGUUUUGACAUAAGAACAAAAAUUUGAAGCAUGCUAAUAUAAAGUCAAUCAUAUAAAGUAAAACUAAAGAAAUUUUAAAUAUCUAUAAGAAUCAUUCAAAAUUAUGUUCAAUAAAACCUUACUUGAUGUUGUAAUGAAACCAUUGAAAGUUUUGAUGCUAUGAUUUGAUGAUUUUAUGCAUGAGAUUGUAAAGUUAUACAUGAUGAUUUUUAUGAUUUAUUGGUCUUGAUGGUUUUUAUGAUAAAAUUCAUUUUUCGAUCCUAAAUGUUGAUGCACAUUUUUAUCUAGCAUAAAUGACAUGAAUUUAAAUAACUAAAAAGAGAAAAGCAUUGUUCUUGAAAAUUAUUUUUCUCUAUAUUGUUGAUUUAUAUGAAUCCCUUGAAAAUGAUUUUGGUUUGAUGAUUUGAAUUAGAAAUGAGUUAUAUCAAAAUCAUGAUAUUGAUUUGACAAAAUUGAAUGAGUUGAAAACAAAUGAUGAUUUUUCUCUUGAAUACAACUUGUAAUAUUUUUACAUAUAUAUAUAAAUUAUCAUCUUGAUUUCUCGAUAUUCGAUACAUGAAAUUUUUCCAUGAAUCAAAAUUCUUUCAUGAUGUGAUUCUUCUUGGUAUUCACUAAAAAUGAUACAUUCAAAUUAACCUAUUCUACUCGACAUCUUGAUAAUUAAUGACUUGAAUAUCAUGUACAAUAUGCUCAUAAUGAUGAUUGAGUUA